rnacentral:rRNA from 1 species
CAGUAGCCGCGGUAAUACGUAGGGUGCAAGCGUUAAUCGGAAUUACUGGGCGUAAAGCGUGCGCAGGCGGUUCGUUAAGACAGAUGUGAAAUCCCCGGGCUUAACCUGGGAGCUGCAUUUGUGACUGGCGGGCUAGAGUAUGGCAGAGGGGGGUAGAAUUCCACGUGUAGCAGUGAAAUGCGUAGGGAUGUGGAGGAAUACCGAUGGCGAAGGCAGCCCCCUGGGCCAAUACUGACGCUCAUGCACGAAAGCGUGGGGAGCAAACAGGAUUAGAUACCCCUGUAGUCCCUGUCUCUUAUAC